CAGGGAGACAACAAAAUGUUUAAUAUUAUUAUUUUGUCACCUUAGGUCGAUCGGUAUCUCACGUUCUUAAUUUAUUAAGAAUUUCAUUUUCUAAGUUUUUCUAGGUCACACCCAUUAUUUUUCCUGGGCCAUUAGCUCAGGUGGUUAGAGCGCACCCCUGAUAAGGGUGAGGUCCCUGGUUCAAGUCCAGGAUGGCCCAUAUCUCUAUGUUGGGGGUAUAGCUCAGUUGGUAGAGCGCCUGCUUUGCAAGCAGGAUGUCAGCGGUUCGAGUCCGCUUACCUCCACUGAUUACCACCUCUUCCAUAACCGGUAGAAAGGAAAUUUUUUGAGUUGUGAUCAAAUUCUGAAAGAAUCUAGCUUCCUAAUGAAAUCAUUAAGAUGCUGGAUUCAUUGAAUUAAUUUCAUUGUUUUCAGAGAACCUUGACAACUGCAUAGAUUAUUUUUAAAGACAAUAAGCAUCUUUAAUGAUGCAGAUUUAUUAUUUGUGCGAAUGCAUUAAUAACAAUUCUAUUAAGCUGAUGCUUCAAUUUUUGAAGUUAUU
rnacentral:tRNA from 1 species